rnacentral:rRNA from 1 species
GACGAACGCUGGCGGCGUGCCUAAUACAUGCAAGUAGAACGCUGAAGGAGGAGCUUGCUUCUCUGGAUGAGUUGCGAACGGGUGAGUAACGCGUAGGUAACCUACCUGGUAGCGGGGGAUAACUAUUGGAAACGAUAGCUAAUACCGCAUAAGAGUAGAUGUCGCAUGACAUUUGCUUAAAAGGUGCAAUUGCAUCACUACCAGAUGGACCUGCGUUGUAUUAGCUAGUUGGUGAGGUAACGGCUCACCAAGGCAACGAUACAUAGCCGACCUGAGAGGGUGAUCGGCCACACUGGGACUGAGACAAGGCCCAGACUCCUACGGGAGGCAGCAGUAGGGAAUCUUCGGCAAUGGACGGAAGUCUGACCGAGCAACGCCGCGUGAGUGAAGAAGGUUUUCGGAUCGUAAAGCUCUGUUGUAAGAGAAGAACGAGUGUGAGAGUGGAAAGUUCACACUGUGACGGUAUCUUACCAGAAAGGGACGGCUAACUACGUG